AAGAGAGAGAGCGACAGAGAGAGUAUUUAUCCAUUUCAGGUGUGGCAGCCUCUUGGCACAUGGCAUUGGUCACAUUUGGUAACCAGGGGAGGCAUUCAUUCACACAGCUUUCUCCCAGGAGACCCUUUGAACAGAAGACCAAGCAGGAAACACAACUCUGUCCACUAAGAGGCUGGCUAUACGAUCACUGGUUCAGCAGAAUCAGCGCUGUCCCCACAGAGAUUUCCUGCAGUCACCAGCUGUUUCUUCCAACACCUGCGUUAAUUUAUGGAUGCUGGUUCGAGCUUCAGGCGGGACACCAUCUGAAGCUCACACGCAGCAGCUCGAAAGAUGGUGGUGGAAAAAGUCUGGAGCCAAGAAACACAUGGCAGGAUCUGCUCUCCAGUGGAUGGAUUUUUCUGGUUUAUGGUGAUGGAUUCAUAUGGAUUAGUAUGGAUUCACAACAUCUGGAAUGAAUACCUAUACAUAUAAUUAAAGAUGUUCAUUACUGCUCUGAAAACUAAGCUGUCUGGCUUACUUUGCUUAUUUCCUGAGUAAACACUUGAAGAUUCACUGGGUGAAAGAUCUCCUUUUUAAAGUGUGUUAUUUUUGCUGAUGUUUCAUGUUUAUUUCCCCAAUAAAG